rnacentral:pre_miRNA from 1 species
AGGAGAAACAACCGCAGUGGCAGGGCCAGCUCUGGAGCCCUGGAGUCAGCUCCCGCAGUAACUCCGGAGCUCUCGGCCUGCAGGGUCUGGAGGCUCUGGGGCGGG